rnacentral:rRNA from 1 species
AUUGAACGCUGGCGGCAGGCCUAACACAUGCAAGUCGAACGAGUGGCGGACGGGUGAGUAAUGUCUGGGAAACUGCCUGAUGGAGGGGGAUAACUACUGGAAACGGUAGCUAAUACCGCAUACCCUCGGAUGUGCCCAGAUGGGAUUAGCUAGUAGGUGGGGUAAUGGCUCACCUAGGCGACGAUCCCUAGCUGGUCUGAGAGGAUGACGAGCGAAACUGGAACUGAGACACGGUCCAGAGUCCUACGGGAGGCAGCAGGGGGGAAUAUUGCACAAUGGGCGAAAGCCGGAUGCAGCCAUGCCGCGUGUAUGAAGAAGGCCUUCGGGUUGUAAAGUACUUUCAGCGGGGAGGCGGUACCCGCAGAAGAAGCACCGGAUAAAUCCGUGCCAGCAGCGGCGGUAAUAC